GGCUUUCACGUGACGUCACGGGGCUUCCAAAUAUGGGCAUCCGCCAUCUUUGUGCUCCAUUUUUGCGAACGCGGUGCACCAUCAAGCAAAGACAAUGGAGCCAGAAGUUCAGUUUUAUUGGUGCUGAGUAAUUGUCCCAGCUAUCAAGAUGUUGCUGUCCACCCAUACCAUUAGAAUGUACCAGUAGUCCAGUGCUGGCUUGCACACAGGUGAAGUGUACUAGUACCUGGAUUCUGCCCACGUAUAAAUAUAUAUUAAGGAAGUCCCGUAUGCAAGAGUGAGAGACACUGAUUUUACAUCAGCAAAGAAACUGAAAGAACAGCUUGACAAGAAGAUUGAUUCCUUCAAUCCCACAUCACAUGUGACUGUCAACACAACACAAGUACACACAAGAGUAAUCUGACAACUCAGGACAAGACUACAGUACCACAGAACAACACCCCUACUGCUCAGGACAAGGUUACAGUACCACCGAACAACACCCCAACUGCUCAGGACAAGGUUACAGUACCACAGAACAACACCCCUACUGCUCAGGACAAGGUUACAGUACCACAGAACAACACCCCUACUGCUCAGGACAAGGUUACAGUACCACAGAACAACACCCCAACUGCUCAGGACAAGGUUACAGUACCACAGAACAACACCCCUACUGCUCAGGACAAGGUUACAGUACCACAGAACAACACCCCAACUGCUCAGGAUAAGGUUACAGUACCACAGAACAACACCCCAACUGCUCAAGAGAUGUAAAUAUGUGUACAGUAAGCUCAGUAAGUGCAAAGUUAAAGUAGUGGCACUAAGUUUGAUUCCUCCAUAUGCAGGCGAGUUUGCCAAGUCAAGACAUCCCUGUUGUGUCGGAUUUGUUCGAUCCAAACAACCUCGACCUCCAGCACCAUGAACUCCUGCACAAAUGUUUAGAUGUUAAUGUUGACAUGUCAGAUAGUCAUAUCAAAACUGUUGAAAAAACACAAGGACACAAGCUAAAGGUCCUGGCUUUUUCCGCCACAGAGCAGGGCGUAUAGGGGCAUCUAUUAGUGGGGCAGUGUAUCACAGCAACCUAGGACAGCCUCCUCAGUCAAUAGUUAAGGCUAUAUGCUAAUCACACCUGUAUAAGGUAGACACAAGGGCCACAAGGUAUCACGUAUGUAAGUAAGAUGGAAGAGGCUGCCAUCAAAGUGUAUGAGACAUGCAUGAAGCCCAACCAUGUCAACUUCCAGGUUAAGAAGUGCAGUCUCUUCAUAUGUAAAGAACACCCUUGCCUCCAUGCGACCCCUGACUUUCUUGUAUCAUGUGAUUGCUGUGGGAUGGGAUGUGGGGAGAUAAAAUGUCCGAUUUCUGUACCUGACGGUAGCUUUGACAAGUGAUGUCCAUAACAAGAGUUCAUGUCUGGAAAAGGUAAUUGGGGUAUUUAACUUUAAGAGAGCCCGCAACUACUACCAUCAUGUUCAGCAGCAAUUGUUUGUUCUAACAGAGAGGAAAUAGGUAUUGUGAUUUUGUAGUAUCUGCAUGGGACCAGAAUGGGAAUGCCCACUAAUAGUCUGUGACAGAAUCAAACCUGACCCAGAACACUCAAAGAUGGUUCUGUUCAAACUGCAAGCAUUUUGGAGGAUUUGCAUUCUGUGAGAUUCUCGGCCGCUGGAACACAAGGAAAAUGUGAUGUGCCAGUGAAGGUCCCUGACUCAAAUGCAAUCUGUCUUUGACGGGAACAGAUGAGUCAAGAUGAUGUCACAUGUAGCAAUUCUGAUUGCCCAUAUGGUAGGUUCAGUCGGGCUUGUUUGGGACUAGGUGAGGUUUCUCUGCUUACCCUGCACUGCCAGCCAUAGAGCAGGACCUUUUUUUCUGCAAAACUUCUGCCACUGCAAAUGUUGCCAUUGGUUUUACAUGUUUGAUGUGUAAGAUGCUCCUAUACGCCCUGCCACUUGUUAUCCUGUGAUUUUAUAAAUCUGUCAACUGUAACAUUAUAAGAAUAGUAUAACAUAAGCUGUGUAACUACACUGACUAGCUAGAGCAUAUUUCCUUUAUAUAAAUUUUUGUCAGUUGAAUUACUGUGUAACUACACUGACGUAACUAAACUGACUAGCUAGAGCUAAUAUUUUCUUUAUAAAUUAAGUCAUCUGUAUUACUGUGUAACUACACUGGCUAGAACUUAUUUAUGCUUAAGUCUGCCAACUGUAUUACUAGUACUGUGUAACUACACUGACUAGCUAGAGCAUAUUUCUUUUAUAUAAAUUUGUCAGUUGUAUUACUGUGUAACUACACUGACUAGCUAGAGCAUAUUUCUUUUAUAUAAUUUUUUCAUCUGUAUUACUGUGUAACUACACUGGCUAGAACUUAUUUAUUCUCAAGUCUGCCAACUGUAUUACUAGUACUGUGUAACUACACUGACUAGCUAGAGCAUAUUUUCUCGUCAGUUGUAUUACUGUCUAACCACACUGACUGGCUAGAACUUAUUUUAUUCACUACACCAGCUAGAACUUAUUUUGAAAGACAUUAUGAUUAGAGUUGCCAGAUACUGACAUUGAUUUUGUACUGUUUGUCAUUCUACUAGUUUGCUGUAAUUUCUUGAUGUCAGCAGUUAACACAUAGAUGCUUAACAUUAGUGUCCUAAGUAUCUACCAUUGAAUAAACUGUUUUCUUGUCUUCAAACAAA